rnacentral:rRNA from 1 species
CGGGAAUAUUGCGCAAUGGAGGAAACUCUGACGCAGUGACGCCGCGUAUAGGAUGAAGGUUUUCGGAUUGUAAACUAUUGUCAUUAGGGAAGAUAAAAGACAGUACCUAAGGAGGAAGCUCCGGCUAACUACGUGCCAGCAGCCGCGGUAAUACGUAGGGAGCAAGCGUUAUCCGGAUUUAUUGGGUGUAAAGGGUGCGUAGACGGGAAAUUAAGUUAGUUGUGAAAGCCCUCGGCUUAACUGAGGAAUUGCAACUAAAACUGGUUUUCUUGAGUGCAGGAGAGGUAAGUGGAAUUCCUAGUGUAGCGGUGAAAUGCGUAGAUAUUAGGAGGAACACCAGUGGCGAAGGCGACUUACUGGACUGUAACUGACGUUGAGGCACGAAAGUGUGGGGAGCAAACAGGAUUAGAUACCCUGGUAGUCCACACCGUAAACGAUGGAUAUCAGGUGUAGGCAUGU